GUUGCAAACUGCCUUAUCGCUCACGACUUUGUCGGGGGGAGGAAAGUCCGGGCAACUUCAGGAAUCGCACCCUGAGAAAGUCAGGGGUGCUGACGGUAAACGUCAGUAACAGAAAGUGCCACAGAAAACAGGUAGCCCUGGCGGCAACGCUAAGGUGAUAGUGAAAAGGCGGGGUAAGAGCCCACCGUGCUGAUGGUAACAUCAGCAGCAUGGUAAACCUUGCGAGUUGAAAGAUCAAAUAGGUCACGCUUCGUGUAAACGAAUUAGCCUGAUAAUUGUCGUAAUGACAAGCGUGAUGGGUAGAUCGAUUGACCCUGAUGGCAACAUCAGGGCAAGAUAAAUGAUAAGGAUGCUGACGCUUUGCGUUGGCAGACAGAACCCGGCUUACAGGUUUGCAAUUUUU
rnacentral:RNase_P_RNA from 1 species